CAUAUUGGGAGUUGGAUAUUGAGAAUCUAUGUCUAGAUUAGAAACUUUUAUGCAAGAAGGAUGUUUAAAGGAAUAUACUUUGAGUGAGAGACAUCAUAUCUAUAGAAUUGUUUCUGAUAGAGAUUGGCCAAGUCUUGAUGAUUUUGAGCUAUGACUUUACGAAAGGAUCAUUGCAUAAAAUGUUAGAAUCUAGCAUAUUCUAUAAGUGGCAAGAAUUUGAUAUUCUUACACUUGUGAUAAGGAUUGGGAGUUGUGAAAUGAGUAUGAUUGGAAAUGUGUUCAUUUGAUCUGUUUCACAAAGUAAGGACCAUAAGUAAACAUUGUGUGCAUGCUGAGAGCAUGGGACAAGUGUAGUAAUAAUUCAAGAAAGAAGUUGAUUACCCGAAACAACAAAUAAUGAGUAAUCAAUAUGGUGAUUAAAUAAAAUGUUUUAUUUAUACCCAGAGUUUGGGGCCAUACGGGAUUAGUAUUAUUCUUGUGUUUCACUUUGCAUGUUUUGACUUCCUGAAUAAUUAAAUAUUUCAGAAUAAUCAAAUUAUUCGAACGGACCACAGUCGUUCAUAUGUUGGAAGUAGGUAUGAAUGAAGACUGUCGUNUUUCACAAAGUAAGGACCGUAGGUAAACAUUGUGUGCAUGCUGAGAGCAUGGGACAAGUGUAGUAAUAAUUCAAGAAAGAAGUUGAUUACCCGAAACAACAAAUAAUGAGUAAUCAAUAUGGUGAUUAAAUAAAAUGUUUUAUUUAUACCCAGAGUUUGAGGCCAUAUGGGAUUAGUAUUAUUCUUGUGUUUCACUUUGCAUGUUUUGACUUCCUGAAUAAUUAAUUAUUUCAGAAUAAUCAAAUUAUUCGAACGGACCACAGUCGUUCAUAAGUUGGAAGUAGGUAUGAAUGAAGACGGUCGUGAAUUGGUUUGUGAAUUGUCUAUAGUGUUUUAGACAUAAGCAAAUGUUUGCUGCAACGUUCAUGAGUGCUUAUGAAUAUGAUUUGAGCAUUGGAUUAAGCCCACGCUCACUUGGAUCACUUCAUGAAUUCUAUCAUGAGUGAUUGGUGAGACGAUAACAUCUUAUAUUCUUGAAACCGAGAUGUGUGAGCUGUAUCUUGCGAGUCGAUUACACAUUGAUAAUAUGUAAACGCACCAGUAACUUGGUGUUAUAAAACAUAUUGUUGUGUGUGAUUCGGUAUGUGAGUGCAAGCAAGCAUUGAAUCAAAGUUUAUCCGUUCCUUUUAUCCAAAGUAGGAUAAAAGUGAUAUAUGUGGGCCCCUCUAUGAUUUAGUGAUGACAUCCUAAGCGCUUGGCCAAGCCGAUACUAAUUUGAUGUGUUUAAUUAUAGUCUGUUAUUAGUCGUCAUAAAUCGGAAAUCGGGAAACAACACAUAGAUUGAGAGAAUGAUUUCAAUCCAUGUCUCACAUCUAUGCGAUAUCAAGAAUGGAGGAAUAUAUGAUCCCUUAUCUAAAGGACAUGCUUCUGAUAAGAUCAGAGUUGACAGCGGCUUUUGAAAGCUACAAUUGCUAAUCAAGAUCUGAGGCUAUACACAAAAUAGUUAUUAGACUUAUCCAAGUGGGAGACUGUUGGAUUAGUGUCUAAGUCCAUAACUAUUUUGGUAUGUACUUGACCCGAUUGUGCAUGGUCCUUUUGGGUUGCCUUCACACUGGUGACUAGACAGGAUGAUUGUUGAGGAGAGAGGCUGGUUUAUUGUUAAGAAUAAUAAAUUAGGGUAUAAAUAUGAUUUGUUAAUAUAUUAUAUGAAUAAUAUAUUAAUUUGGAAUCAUAUUAUUAAUUAGUAUUUAAUCAGAAAUUAAUUUAGAAUUAAUUUUGGGAUUAAAGGAACUGACUGAAAGUGCAGGGGCUAUUUUGUAAUUAUUCAAUAGUUGAGGCUUUGGGCCAUUGGAUCACCUUUAUUAAGGCUUGAAAGAAAAUCCUAGAAGGAUCUAGGAGUUUUCGUCCAAGGGCUUAAGGAAAGGAGUCCAUGGACUUGCUUAGGCCCUAAGCUAAGGGAUUAGGGUUUACACCUUGAAACCCUAGUUAGCCUUAAGUAUAAAUAGCACCCUAAGGCACUAAGAUUUCGUCCAAGCUUUGGGAAACCCUAAAAGGGAUGAAAUCUAGGGCAAGAUACCCUUCUCUCCUCUCUCCCAUAUUCAUCAUUUCACCUAGUGUGUUUGUGAGCCAUUAGAGGUACUACACUUGUGGUACUUGCUUUCAAGAGCUAAUGAAAUUCAAGGAACUAGUUGUUAUUGCUAUAUAACAACAAAAGGUAUGUAUUCUAUUUUUAUAUAUGAAUUUCGAAAAUAAUAGUAGCAUGCUAGGUUUCUUUUUGUGUUCAUAAAGUUGUAUAGCUAAUAAUGAAAACAUAGAUCCAACUCUAGAGUUGUAUGCACACAUAGGAUUGUUUGUAUAAAACCCAUCACAACUCAAGGUCCGGGAAGAGGAUAUCCCCAAAACCGCUUUCCGAGCUCGUUAUGGACAUUACGAAUUUGUCGUAAUGCCCUUCAAUCUAACGAAUGCCCCUGCCACAUUCAUGGACCUAAUUAAUCGAAUCUGUCGACUAUUCCUCGAGAACUUUGUCAUUGUUUUCAUUGACGACAUUCUAGUUUACUCUCGAAACGAAGAGGAGCAUGGCCAACAUCUCCGACAAAUCCUGGAAACCCUGCGAACUGAGAAGCUAUACCCAAAACUCUCUAAGUGUGAGUUCUGGAUCCGCAGUGUGAAGUUCUAGGGUUAUGUUGUUAGUCAAGAAGGGAUACACGUGGAUCCUUCUAAGGUCAAAGCCAUUGAAGGAUGGGCGAUCCCAAUGACACCCACAAAAAUUUGUCAAUUUUUAGGUCUCGCAGGCUAUUAUAGGAGGUUCAUCCAGAACUUCUCUAAGAUCGCCCAGCCACUUACCAUGCUUACACAAAAGGGUGUAACCUUUGAAUGGACAGAUAAGCAAGAGGUUGCAUUCCGAACUCUGAAGCAAGCACUCUGCAAUGCACCGGUACUAUCAAUACCAGAAGGAACAGAGGACUUCGUAGUUUACUACGACGUGUUGAAUCAGGGUUUGGGUUGUGUACACAUGCAACGUGGGAAGGUGAUAGCUUAUGCAUCCCGACAACUAAAGACACAUGAGGUGAACUAUACGACCCAUGAUCUAGAAUUGGGAGUUGUGGUCUUCGCCUUAAAAUUUUGGAGGCACCACCUUUAUGGUACAAAGUGCACCAUUUUCACGGACCAUAAGAGUCUCCAACACAUCCUAAAUAAAAAAGAGUUGAACAUGAGGCAACGAAGGUAGGUUGAGCUACUAAACGAUUAUGAGUGUGAAAUUAAGUACCACCCAGGCAAGGCUAACAUGGUAGUUGAUGCCUUGAGUCAGAAAGAAUACUCGAGUCGUCGUGUAAAGACUCUCUCCAUAACCAUUCAAUCCCACUUGACCUCCUAAAUCAGAGCGGCCCAGUUCGAUGCCAUGAAGAAGAAAAACAAAGCAAGCGAAGCGUUACGAGGGAUGGAAAAGAAUUUCGAAGUGAAGGAGGACGAAGCAUAUUAUUUUAUGAACCACAUUUGGAUCCCUAAACAUGGGGGAUUCAGAGAAGUGGUCAUGGAUGAAGCCCACAAGACACGAUACUCCAUCCAUCCGGGUUCAGAUAAAUUGUAAUUGGAUAUCAAGCAACAUUAUUGGUGGCCCAACAUGAAGGCAAAGAUUGCCAACUAUGUUAGCAAAUGCCAUACUUGCAUUAAAGUGAAGGUGGAAUAUCAGAAGCCCUCGGGAUUAUUACAGCAACCAGUAAUUCUCGAGUGGAAAUGGGAAAGGAUUACUAUGGAAUUUGUGACCAAAUUACCCAAGUCAACAGAUGGAUUGGAUACCAUAUGGGUAAUAGUCGACAGAUUGACGAAAUCCGCUCAUUUCCUACCAAUAAAAGAAUCCUACAAGAUGGAGAGGUUGAUGAGGAUAUUAUUCAAGGAAAUUGUGAGACUCCACGGAGUGCCAUUAUCUAUCAUCUCAGAUAGAGAUAGUAGAUUCGCUUCAUGUUUUUGGCAAUCACUUCAGAAAGCACUAGGAACACAUCUCGACAUGAGCACCGCUUAUCAUCCGCAGACGGAUGGUCAAAGCGAACGAACCAUUCAGACGCUUGAAGAAAUGCUUUGUGCGUGUGUGAUAGACUUUGGAAAGUCGUGGGAUACCCAGUUGCCCUUAAUCAAAUUCUCGUACAACAACAGUUAUCACUCGAGCAUCAAAGUUGCUCACUUCGAGGCGUUGUAUGGACGUAAAUGUAGAUCACCGUCGUGUUAGGCUGAGGUAGGUACCACCCAGCUAGCAAGAGGACUGACACCACACAAUGCGUUAAUGAAACCGGUGAUCAUACGUGAAACAACAGAGAAAAUAGUUCAAAUCAGAGCUCGACUACAAGCAUCACGAGACCGACAGAAGAUCUACGCUGAUAAACGACGAAAUCCCUUGGAGUUUCAAGUCGGGGAUCGAGUGUCGUUAAAGGUCUCUCCCUGGAAAGGGGUUAUUCGUUUUGGAAAACGGGGAAAGUUGAACCCACGAUACAUUAGACCCUUCGAGAUUCUUGCCCGAAUCGGUCUAGUGGCUUACAGACUACAACUACCUGCCGAGCUCAGCAGUGUACACCCCGUGUUCCAUGUUUCCAAUUUGAAAAAGUGUUUUUCCAACGAAACCCUCGUCAUUCCACUUGAAGAAAUAGAAAUCAGUGAGAAUCUCUUGUUCGUUGAAGAACCAGUCGAAAUCAUGGAAAGGGAGGUGAAGCGUACUAACAAACUUACAUUCCGAUUGUGAAGGUACAGUGGAACGCGAAGCGUGGGCCAAAAUUCACAUGGGAACGUGAAGACCAGAUGUAGCAGAAGUACCCUCACCUAUUCUCGCAUUCUUGAAUCUAGCUUUAGAAAGAAUUUCGGGACGAAAUUCCCUCUAACGGGGGGGAUGAUGUCACAACUAGGAAUUCUAUACCAUGUAACAACAACAAUGAUAACAUUUGUGAACCAAAAAUGUGAAAGCACGUAUGAUGCUUAUUCAAUAACAACAAAUUUUCCAUCAAACGCUCUAUGCAAGCACUUCAAAUAGUCAACAACGAAUUGGAAACCCUAGAAAUCCCGGUUUAAGUCCAUUAUGGACUAGGAUUUCCUUAUUGGGACUAAUGGGCCAAUAAGCUUCCAAUUUGACUAUUUUGGGCUUAGAACUCUUAAAUGGGCUCUAAUUGGACCCACUUCCAUUUAUUUUAACAUUUUGGGCCAUAUUGGGCCUAUAAUGAGAUACAAUACCCUAAUGGGCCUUAUUGGGCCAUAACUAACCUAAUUAACUUUAAUGGACUAUGAAGCCCAUUAUUUUUGACAAAUUGGGUCGUAAACCAUCAUGGGAGCCCAAUGGGCUGAAAAAUCAUCAAAUUGGGCCCACAAUAUGGAUUUAAGCAAAAAGGCCAAAAACUCUCUUCUCUUUUCUCUAAUUCUCGGCCCAAGUGGGAAAACAAAAAAAACAAAAGAGAAGGAGAUUAAGAGAGUUGACUUUUAUGUUGACACCUCAUGAUUAUCCAACAUAUCUCUAACUAAUAUCUUCCAUGUAUCCAUGUAUAGUUUCAUGUAUCAACGCAAGCUCAUUUCUUCCCCCCUCUUUCCUUAUCUACGACCGAGAGCCCCACACACCACCACCAUUUUCAUUUUGAUCAAACUCUUACAAGAAAAACUCUCAAGAACUCUUCCCUUUUCUCCAAAUUUUCGAGCAUUGGUGUGUGACUUCAAGGAGUUUACCAAUUAAUAUCAUCAUUCUUGGUAAGUCUUUACUUGGAUCCAUGGCUUAACUUCUAUAUUUCAUCAAACAUCUCAUCUUAACUCAUGCAAAUUCAUGAUCUAACUCCCUAGAACCAUCUAAGUUCGAAAACUCCCUCAAGAAGUUGCUAGGGCCGAAAUCUUCUCUCAAAUCUUCAUCAAAACCAAAUCCAAACCUCAAGGUGAGUUCAUACCCCUUUAUUUUUGGUUUUCAUAUGUUUUAUGGGGGAGAAUACAAGUAAAAUGUGUAGAUCUAGUUGUAUGUGUGUGCUAUGUGUGAUUUCAUGUGUAUAUGUGGUAAAUAUGUGCCAAAAAUGAAAGAUAUUUCGAGAUCUAUAGUUUAUAAGGGAAAAAUAUGUGAUAUAGGGUGUAUUACACAUAACUAGUUAAGAAAAAUCUACCAUAUAAGGGUUAAAAUAAACAUGUUACAACAUAAGACUCAUUAUUGGGUUAUUUUUGUCAAAUAAACAAAAGUUUGGGGAAAGGUUGUCAUUCAUGGUUUCUUAAGGACUAAAAGAGUCAAACCAGUAAAAAUAAAUGUUUUUAUGGAUAUCAUACUCUUUUAAGGGCUAGAAGUGUAAAUUAUAGCUUAGUGGGCAAAAUUUUGGGCUUUUCGGCCCAUUAAGCCAUAACUUGCGAAAAUUUCAACUUUCAAGGGAGUGAAAUGAUAAACUUCUGAAAACAGGGGGUAAAAAGGGUAGGUUAAAAUGAUGUAUUUUCCAAACAAGGAUAAAAAAUGUAAACUUUUUGGAUUUUGGGCCAAAAUUGUAAAAGUUGCAAACGUUUGGGCUUUAACCGAAAAAUACUUUUCUGGAAGGGCUAAAACUGCCAAAUAAUACGUUUUUAGCUAAAAAAAUAUCACUUGAACAAGUCUUUGGGUCAAAAGUGUCAAGAAAAUGGUUUAAGGGCUUCAAAUGUCUUCUUUCUAUAUAAAGGACUAAAAUUGUCAAUUUUACCAAAGAAGGGCUGAAAGGGGUUCAAACCAAGAAUUUUGAGUCAAUUAUUUUAUUUUUAAUAUAUUUAGUUAAAAUAAAAAUACCAAACUACCAUUCAUGAAAAUAGAAAGAUGAAAAUACGUAUAAUUCCAAACAUCAUUAAAAAUAACCGACCGGCCUUAUUCCGGUAUGAAAUUAACAAUCACCCAAUCAAACUUUCCAACAAUUAAACUACACGUAAAACAAGUAAACAUUCAAAUCUUUGGGCUUGAAAGUUCCAAUCAUACUUUUUGGGCCUUUGUGACCCAUUAACAUGAUUUUUGGGCCCAAGGGAUAAUAAUAAAUGUUAUUGGGCCUUCUUGUUGGAUUAUUGUCUAAGUCCAUAACUAUUUUGGUAUGUACUUGACCCGAUGGUGCAUGGUCCUUUUGGGUUGCCUUCACCGAAGCAACUUGAUAGGAUGAAUUAUGGAGAGAAAGGAUUAAUUAUGAUUUAUUAAUAUAUUAUGAGAAUAAUAUAUUAAAGAAGAAAUCAUAUUGUUUAAUUAAUAUUAGUCAAGAAUUAAUUGAUAAUUAAUUUUGUGGCUAAAAGAGAUUAAUUAAACUUAAGGGACUGGAACUGUAAACAUAAGAUAAUUAUAUUUGGGCUACGGAUUACCUUAGGAUAAUAGGUUGGACGAAUUCUAUGGGGAAACCCAUUAGAAAUUGUCCAAGGGAUAUUCUAAAAGAGUCUAUGGGCUGCUUUGGGCUUAAACAAACAAAUUAGGGUUUCCUAGUUGAAAACCCUAAUAGCCUACAUGUAUAUAUAGUACCCUUAAGCCACAAAAACGUGGCUUAGAGUUACACUAUGGUUUCUGGACGUUUUGGGCAGCCUCCUCUCUCCUUAUUCUUCAUCCUCUUGCUCUUGGUGUUUGUGAGCCAUUAGAGGAGCGACAAUUGUGACUAUAAGCUUUCUAAAGUCAUUACAAGGAGGAUUUGAGAUUGUUAUUGCUACAUAACAAUCAAAGGUAAUUCUCUAAACCCUAAUUUCAGUUUAUAAUUUGUUAGAUCUAAGAUUGUAAGUCUUGGAUACAUUGCAUGUACAAUAGAGAAACCUAGAUCCAAGCAUUAGGGUUUGCAUGAGCACAUAGGAUGUUCUUUUGGCUAAAACACUUCAGUGGUAUCAGAGCCUUGAUUGGUUUCUGUUGUAUGUGAUGCUAUGUUGAAUUAUUAACUGAAAAUCGAAUUCUGGCCUUCUGUUCGAACUGACUCGGCGAGUCACUACAUGGGCUCAACGAGUCUGCCCUAGUCGGCGAGUUCCAAUGUGUGACUCGGUGAGUCGGAGCGUCAGACAAAGGGAAUUUCGGAUUUUAUUGCUGUUUUGCUUAAGGAUAAUUACCAUAUUCAUUUUAAACUUAUAAAAUACGAUUUUUAAUGUUUCUAAAAGAUUAUCCUUGCCAAAACACAAGAUAAUUACCAAUUGAUUAGAUAAUAACUUCCUUAUAUGAUUAAAGAUUGAUUAUUUGUAUUAAUUGGGUAACUUAUCUUGCAAGAAAUUGAAAUUAGGUCAAAUAUAGAUAAUGACAAAAUUAAUUGUUUAAUUUCUAUUAUUUGUUAUUUGAUCCUUGUGUUGUGAAAAAGUUUCAUUUGUGCCCAUGUAAGUUUUAUGGUUUAAAUUUGAACUUAAAGGUUUUAUUUUGAAAUUUAAAUAGUUGAAACCCUAAUGUUUUGAAAUCUUUCAAAACUUGCCCUCAAGUUUUGGAAUUUAAAAGUUGAUUAAAAGUUUAAUUUAGAAAUGUUAAAUUCUAAAACCCUAGUAUUGUUUUGAAAAGUUCAAAUCACACCCUUAUGGUUUUAUUAAUUAAUUAAAGUGUAUAAUUAUUAAAUUUGACCACCUAGUAUUUUAAAAGUGUAAAAUACACCCUAUACUAUAUAUAACAUUAAAAGUCUAAUAUAUAUGUAUGAGUAAAAGUCAGUCUUACCGUUAGUAGGCCUCAUUCACGAAGCUGGUCUAUAAGGGGUGUUUAAGGAAAUUGCCUAUAAAAUGGCGAUUGAAUGGGUAUCCACUCUUACCCACCGCACUCUUGACUAGUGGAGGGUCGUUAGCCGAACGGGUAGGAUAGGACAGAAACCUUCCAUUAUAAGUAUAAUGAAGUACAAAGUAACUAAAUGCUUUUUCAAAUUCCCAAAUCAUAGUUACUUUAGGAAAAAUGUGAAAUUGUAUGCUAACCCAUGGAAUUACACUUCGUACCCUUGUCAAACGUUAGUGGAGCGUGUGUGGUUAACCGGCACACUAAUUUGGGGAUGACAUUGGUAGCGAAGGGUGACUCGAUGUUUGUCAUAGAUCAAUGGAGCGUGUGUGGCUAACCGGCACAUUGAUUAGGUGAUUGUAGCAUUGGGUGCACCACGUGAUUCGUAUGGUUAUUCACACCUUGUUUGUGAUCCUCGGCAUCCCAGUCACAAAUAGUAGGGCAUAAUCGAGAUUAAACAUGCCAUUGAAAAGUUCAAUGAAUCUCAAAAGAUCUAGGAGUUUCAAUUCAUUUAAAACUUAAUCUUCCUUUUCGUUUUUCAUGGUGGAAAUUGGUAAAUCGUCAUUUACCUACCUUCAAAUAUUUUGCAACUAGAUUACGGCAUCCCUUUUCUAGGUUGUAGAAUAUUGUGUUGGAUCCUAGCUUGAUGUUUCAUUUGGGUGUUACAUCAAGAAUUCUAAUCAACAUAACUUGAAUUUUCUCCCGUUUUGUAGAUGUCUGAAUCUUACAAUGGUCUUCCCAAAUCCUUUGGAACAAGCUUUCCAAAUGAAGAUGACGUUCCGAGAUACGAUCAAGGAAAUGAGAGUCAUGCUUCACUUCCUCCACCUCCUCCAAUUGUUCUCCCUGACCCACAAGUUCAAAGGCUUGAAAAGUUCAAGCUCACUCAAGCCCUUUUGGCAAGUAAACACGAAGAUGGGAAACCUGUGUGUGCACACGUCUUAGAGAUGAAGUCACACAUUGAUAGGUUAAGCAUGUUGGGUGUCGAGAUUUCAAGUGAGUUGGCUGUUGACUGGGUUCUUCAGUCACUUCCUGAAUCAUAUAGUGAGUUCGUUAGAGAGUACUAUAUGAUGGACCACGACGUGACCCUAAUUGAUCUCACCUAUUUGCUUAUAGCUGCUGAAUCAGCAAUGAUUUGGCGUGCUGGUCAAGCAAAUUUGUCUGGUGAAUCAAACUCCCAAACUUCAAUGGACACUGGCAACAUUGGAAGUCCAGAAAGAACUAAGUCUGUGAUUGUCCGAUGUGCUGUGCCAAAGGAGUCCAUUUGCUUUUAUUGCCAAGAGAAGGGGCAUUGGAGACGAAGCUGCCCUAACUACCUGAGAGAUCUAAGAGAUGGGAGAGUCAAGACGUAUGGCUCUGCUUCAGGUAAAAUCCAUUAUCUAACUCUUUUGAGUUCCUAUUCUAGAUUCUUAAUACAUGAUGUGAUAAGAUUACAUUUUGAUGUUUUGUAGGAUCGAAGAAAAGAGAGGAAGCUUGAGGGAAGAAGUGAGCUGAAUCUAAUCAUGAAGAAAUGGAUUUCGAUCGCAUUACUUGAAGAAUGGAUUCUUGAGCUACUACUUGGAGUUAGAAUAGAUUGUUAAGAAAUAUGUAAUAACAUAGUUUUUCAAUUGAAUUGCAUUGUAAGGACAAAUUUUUUCCGCAAUAAAAUGAAUUUUGAUUUUAUCUUAUUUAUUUAUCCUUGCAAUGGCAUGUAUGAAAAAUUGAUGUUUGAAUGUUUCUAUUAUUAGCAAUAAUGGAUUUGAUUCUUAAUUAUGUUAUUUGUGGAAAUGUCAAAAGUUUACCAAAUAGGGAGAGUUUCUCAUCGCCCAAGUUUCAAUUGGACAGAAACUUGGAAUCAUGCAAUGUGUAUUGUAUGAUGAAUGAAAAACUUUCACAUUUGGGAAACUUAGACUAAUUCUUUGACAAAGUGUCAAUUGAAGGACUAGGAGAUCAAGUACACUAGGUUGUGCGUUGAUCAAGUCCACCACAAGAGUGACAAAGAUAUUCGUCAUGAUUUACUAAAGUUUAGUAAAUAUGAUUAUACUUAUAAGAUUAAGUGUAAUUCUGAGUUGAUUGAAAGAGUUUCAAUGAAUAGUAGAACGAAUAAAGAAGAAUCAAGUAGGCAGAAAGAUAAAAGUUUCUCUAUUCUAAGAAGAAGGGAGAGUACCUUUUAUUGUGUUUUAUGAUAAGUCUUAAUGAUUAAGAACCAUGUCUCAAUAGAUCCUCUAAGUGAGUCUUAGUGCAAUUGCAUGUCUAAGAAGAGGAAUCAAGUAUUGUAGAAAUGGUUAAAUCAAUAAGUCAAUCAUACUUCGUUCCAAUAUCAAGUCUUAGAGUCAAGAUUGUGACAUUGAGUGAAAAGUCUUAAGUAGGUUUAUAACACUCAUCAAAUGUGGAAUUUGGAAAAGUUUUCUUAUUCUUGCACAUUUGAAAUUGGUAAGUUGUGCUGUCUUGGAUAAGACAAAGACCAACUAGGACCAAUUAUGUGAAGUGUUUUGUCUUGAUAAGAACUACACUAACUCUUGAAUAUUUGCUUUGUCAAGAAAUGUUUCUUGACAAGAGAAUCUUAUAUGUCAAGGAGUCAGUGGGAGUCUUAAUGGUCUUGAAAGGUUUCAAGAACAAAUCAAGAAUAAACCUUAUCGAUCAUCACUAGCACACGACUUGAGGUUUACAACCUAUCGUGUUGACAUUAUUUUGUUUCUGUGCCAUUCCAAUUGAGUUAAUUGUGUAUGUGAGUUCUAUGAGUUCUCAUUUGAAUGCAUACUAGAGCCUUAGUCGAUGGAAAGUACAUUGAUAUGUAAGGACAAGUUACUAAACUACUUGGAAGACAUGGUGGGCACUCGUGUUACCAUAAGGCAAGAAAUCAAGAUUAAGAAAGUUCAGUCCAUAUGAGUUUGGAUUUGUCGCAAACCUUGGUUUUGGCAAAUUCACAUGGAUAGGAACUCAUACACCAUAAAAUCUAAGUGUCAUAAGAUUCCCUCCUUCAUGAAAAUGACUGUGAGGAAAUGCUUUCACUAAGAGAGAUUUUAAGAAGAUAGCAAUUGUGAAAAUUGUAUUCUCAAAUUCGAUUAUGGUUACGACAUCCCUUUCCAUAGUUCGAAUUGUGAGAUUUGGCAAUUAGUCUAACAUUUGGGACUUAUUGAUAUAAGUUCUGAAUUGUUUAGACACACAUAUGAGCUAUCUAAGGCAAAGGUGUAUAAGGUUAAGAAGCUUAGAUAAAGGCUUAUCGAAGCAUCUGGUAUUAGAAAUAUGAAUUUCAGAAAUUCAAUAGGCAUUGUUUUCUGAAAGUUCAUUUGUUUUCUGAAUACAUGUCAAAGCUAGUGGGAGCAUAAGUGUUAUGCUUAUAUGAUAAUAAUCAUCAUGAUAGUGGGAGCAUAAAUGUUGUGCUUGUAUGAUUAUUAAGGCAAGUAUUGCAAGUUAGCAAUAUUAAUUAUAGAAAACAAGAGUUAUACUUUGCAAAGUCGUAAGGGUUGAAAAGUUGUUUUGCUAUAAUUAAGGGAGAGAAUAUUGUACUUCGUUUCAAAAUCUAAAGCUUAGAUUGAGAAAUUUUAAUAAAUUUAGUCAAAGGAUACAUAGUGUGUUCUUAAAUUUCGAUUAUGAUUACGGUAUCCCUCUUCAUAGUUCGAAUUGUAAGAACGUGACACAUAAAAUAUUAUGGCAGAAGAUUGAUAAAGUAUCAUAUCUUUAUGUAAGACAUUAUGCAUCGUGUCCCAUACGCUUCGGGUAUAGGAUCGAUUGCAAGUGCUAUAAUAUUUGACCAUUCUAAAAUUUUCCAAAUGUCUAGCGCAUUUAGAGGGAAAAAGGACAAGAAUCGGUUUUGACUAAGAUAAUUAAACAACUAUCAAAGGACGAUCCAAAGCUCGCUGAGGAUUGGUCGCUUGUGAGUAGUUGGAAGUAUGGUAUUGGAUGGACCAUAUCGACAUUAUUAUGAAUAGAUAAGAUUCUAUUAAGAAUGAGUUGUCAUAUGGCAAAUAUGGAAAUGUUUCCAUAUUGGGAGUUGGAUAUUGAGAAUCUAUAUCUAGAUUAGAAACUAUUAUGCAAGAAGGAUGUUCAAAGGAAUGUACUUUGAGUGAGAGACAUCAUAUCUAUAGAAUUGUUUCUGAUAGAGAUUGGCCAAGUCUUGAUGAUUUUGAGCUAUGACUUUACGAAAGAAUCAUUGCAUAAAAUGUUAGAAUCUAGCAUAAGUAACAAGAAUUUGAUAUUCUUAUACUUAUGAUAAGGAUUGGGAGUUGUGAAAUGAGUAUGAUUGGAAAUGUGUUCAUUUGAUCUAUUUCACAAAGUAAGGACCGUAGGUAAACAUUGUGUGCAUGUUAAGAGCAUGGGACAAUUUUUGUAAUAAUUCAAGUAAGAAGUUGAUUACCCGAAACAACAAAUAAUGAGUAAUCAAUAUGGUGAUUAAAUAAAAUGUUUUAUUUAUACCCAGAGUUUGAGGCCAUAUGGGAUUAGUAUUAUUCUUGUGUUUCACUUUGCAUGUUUUGACUUCCUGAAUAAUUAAAUUGGUUCAGAACAAUCAAAUUAUUCGAACGGACCACAGUCGUUCAUAUGUUGGAAGUAGGUAUGAAUGAAGACUGUCGUGAAUUGGUGUGUGGAUUGUCUAAAGUGUAUUAGAC
rnacentral:lncRNA from 1 species